GAACUAUUCCCUGUUAUUCCUUAGCUCCUUGAAAUCAGCAUGCUAUGUCAGAUUCCAAGAAUCGAAUCAUUGCUUCCGCGACGAAGGUGGGACUCCCAAGGGCCACACGCCGCAGAACUAAAGAAAAUAGGGCAAUUAAAUACUCGCUGUAAACCUGUACAGUGUUCCUGGGCACUCGGCCGCAGGUUUUUUUACAAUAAUUUCCCGCACUAGUUUUCUUAUGACUUCACUAAAGCUAUACCAAAUCCCUAGACUCUGGGCCGUACGUGCGGGCAGGGUGGCCUGAUGCCUGGGUCCCCCGCGCCCGCCGCUCGUCGGCCCUGUCCCCUUGGAGGGGUCGACACUUCCUCCUGCCUUAAGCCGGCCCCCUCUGCCAGACUCCUACUUCUCUUCGGCCUCGGCCCCUCCUCUUUUUUACAACCCGGAGAGGGGGUGAGCGGGGAUUGUGGCUUCACGUGGUCUGAGUGUGCGGAGAGAAAAGCAAUCCGCGAGGCGCACCCAUUUCUUGCCCCAUUCCGAACCCCACAUUUAGGAUCCUGCUACCUAAAAGGCCCCCGCCAAACCCAGCAUUUUCAGCCCAAGGAGGGCUAAACACGACUCGGGGUCACGUCUCUCUCCGCGGAGGCAGUACUCUUAUUCUCAGGCUCUCCAUGCAAAAGCUCUGCCCGGUGUGCCCUUCUGUUCAGGAAUGUGUAUUUUAGUGUACCCGGAAGAGGAACAAAUCUUUGAAGCAAAUUCCCUUUCUGAUGCGCUUCUCUACCCCCUCCCCCUAGUGAAUUC
ensembl:lncRNA